CGCACAUUGCGCCUCCUGGUAUUCCGGAAGGCAUGCUUGUUCGAGCGUCGUUUAAACUAUAUCAAUUUAAUCAUUGAUGUGUUGAAAGCUUUUGUUUCUAGCAAAACUUUCCAAAAUUAUUGAAGCGAUCUUGACUGAUUAUUAUUGAACGCAUUAAGUUUUAUUUACUCGUGCAAGAAAAUCAGUGAGAGAUUAGCCUUGACUUUAUACAAAUUUUAUUAUCGACCUCGAAUCAAGUAGGAUUACCCGCUGAACUUAA
rnacentral:misc_RNA from 1 species